rnacentral:piRNA from 1 species
UGACAAAGGAUGAUGAUGGUGGUGGU